AUACGGAGGGUCCAAGCGUUAUCCGGAAUCAUUGGGUUUAAAGGGUCCGCAGGCGGUCAAUUAAGUCAGAGGUGAAAGCCCAUCGCUCAACGAUGGAACUGCCUUUGAUACUGGUUGACUUGAGUUAUACGGAAGUAGAUAGAAUAAGUAGUGUAGCGGUGAAAUGCAUAGAUAUUACUUAGAAUACCGAUUGCGAAGGCAGUCUACUACGUAUAUACUGACGCUGCGGGACGAAAGCGUGGGGAGCGAACAGGAUUAGAAACCCCGGUAGUCC
rnacentral:rRNA from 1 species